ensembl:lncRNA
GUUUGUGACUUUUCACGUUUGUCAGAACACAUCUUAAAAGACGUUCACUUUAGGGAAAGAAAGUUGCUACUGGAGAAACCUUCUGAACAUGGACAUUUAUGGGGGUUGCAGCAACUUACAAUGAAAGGUCACUGAACAGAUAACAAUACAUGUGGCAAUGUGGUUAUCUCCAUACAUGGCUCCAGUUGUGUCUGAGGUCAACUGCAAACCUGCUCCAUGCUCCCACCAGCCAUUCUUACCCCCAUUCCUGUGCAGGAACACAGAGCGCUUGGAGCUCUGGCGCCCAGCUGCGUGUCAGAGGCAGCCACGCAACAGCCACGACUCAAGAGCACUCCCAGUUGACACCACUUAUCUGCUCCGCACCACCACUUAUGUGUUUGCUGAAAGGGAGAGAGAGGCAGCCGCCGAGCUAAACACUGGGAAAAAAAAGAUCUCUAUUGCAACGACUUUCCGAGGGGACUGUUUUCACGGGCUCUUGUAUUCUUUGUUUGAGGAUGAUAAAAACUGAGACAGAGACAGGCGGUUCUUUGGAAAACGUGCAUAAGUCACAAAGCACUGAAUUUAUCACUGAGUUGGUUUACUCCAUUUCUGUUCUGAGGAUCCAGCGGUACUGCGGAUCCCAUGCAUAACUGCGUGCACACAACCUCUGGUCGUUGUCUGCAGUGAGCAGAUUUAGUAAUGACAACACCAG